GUGCGCAGCCGCCGCGGUAAUACGGAGGAUCCAAGCGUUAUCCGGAAUCAUUGGGUUUAAAGGGUCCGUAGGCGGGCUUGUAAGUCAGUGGUGAAAUCCGGCAGCUUAACUGUCGAACUGCCAUUGAUACUGCUAGUCUUGAAUUACUAUGAAGUGGUUAGAAUAUGUAGUGUAGCGGUGAAAUGCUUAGAUAUUACAUGGAAUACCAAUUGCGAAGGCAGAUCACUAAUAGUAUAUUGACGCUGAGGGACGAAAGCGUGGGUAGCGAACAGGAUUAGAUACCCCAGUAGUCC
rnacentral:rRNA from 1 species